GAGCGAACGCUGGCGGCGUGCCUAACACAUGCAAGUCGAACGUGAAAAGGGAAACCUGAGUCAAGUGGCGUACGGGUGAGUAACGCGUAGGUAAUCUACCCCAGAAUCUGGAAUAACCUGCCGAAAGGCGGGCUAAUACUGGAUAGAGCGAGGGAACUCGUAAGAGAGUUUUUCGGGAAAGGGAGCCCGCAAGGGCCUUCGUUCUGGGAUGAGCCUGCGUCUCAUUAGCUAGUUGGUAAGGUAACGGCUUACCAAGGCGAUGAUGAGUAGCUGGUCUGAGAGGAUGAUCAGCCACACUGGAACUGAAACACGGUCCAGACUCCUACGGGAGGCAGCAGUGGGGAAUCUUGCGCAAUGGACGAAAGUCUGACGCAGCCACGCCGCGUGAGUGAAGAAGGCCUUCGGGUUGUAAAGCUCUGUCGGAUGGGACGAACAUCUUCAUAGUGAAUAGCUAUGAGGACUGACGGUACCAUCAAAGGAAGCACCGGCUAACUCCGUG
rnacentral:rRNA from 1 species